CCUACGGGUGGCUGCAGUGGGGAAUAUUGCACAAUGGGCGCAAGCCUGAUGCAGCCAUGCCGCGUGUGUGAAGAAGGCCUUCGGGUUGUAAAGCACUUUCAGCGGGGAGGAAGGCGGUGAGGUUAAUAACCUCAUCGAUUGACGUUACCCGCAGAAGAAGCACCGGCUAACUCCGUGCCAGCAGCCGCGGUAAUACGGAGGGUGCAAGCGUUAAUCGGAAUUACUGGGCGUAAAGCGCACGCAGGCGGUCUGUCAAGUCGGAUGUGAAAUCCCCGGGCUCAACCUGGGAACUGCAUUCGAAACUGGCAGGCUAGAGUCUUGUAGAGGGGGGUAGAAUACCAGGUGUAGCGGUGAAAUGCGUAGAGAUCUGGAGGAAUACCGGUGGCGAAGGCGGCCCCCUGGACAAAGACUGACGCUCAGGUGCGAAAGCGUGGGGAGCAAACAGGAUUAGAUACCCCGGUAGUC
rnacentral:rRNA from 1 species